rnacentral:lncRNA from 1 species
GUGAGAGAGCUGACUGAUCUAACACAGGAGGUGAGAGAGCUGACUGAUCUAACACGGGAGGUGAGAGAGCUGACUGAUCUAACACGGGAGGUGAGAGAGCUGACUGAUCUAACACAGGAGGUGAGAGUGCUGACUGAUCUAACACAGGAGGUGAGAGUGCUGACUGAUCUAACACAGGACGUGAGAGAGCUGACUGAUCUAACACAGGAGGUGAGAGUGCUGACUGAUCUAACACGGGAGGUGAGAGAGCUGACUGAUCUAACACAGGAGGGGAGAGUGCUGACUGAUCUAACACAGGAGGGGAGAGAGCUGACUGAUCUAACACGGGAGGUGAGAGUGCUGACUGAUCUAACACGGGAGGUGAGAGAGCUGACUGAUCUAACACGGGAGGUGAGAGUGCUGACUGAUCUUACACAGGAGGUGAGAGUGCUGACUGAUCUAACACAGGAGGGGAGAGAGCUGACUGAUCUAACACGGGAGGUGAGAGUGCUGACUGAUCUAACACGGGAGGUGAGAGAGCUGACUGAUCUAACACGGGAGGUGAGAGAGCUGACUGAUCUAACACGGGAGGUGAGAGAGCUGACUGAUCUAACACAGGAGGUGAGAGAGCUGACUGAUCUAACACA